rnacentral:rRNA from 1 species
UCGAGGAUUAUUCGCAAUGGGCGAAAGCCUGACGAUGCGACGCCGUGUGAAUGAUGAAGGCCUUCGGGUUGUAAAGUUCUUUCGCUUAAGAACAAGAAAGAUUGUUUAAUAAACGACCAAUUUGAGGGUAUUAGGUAAAGAAGCACCGGCUAACUCCGUGCCAGCAGCUGCGGUAAUACGGAGGGUGCAAGCAUUAAUCGGAAUUAUUGGGCGUAAAGGGCGCGUAAGUGGGUUUGUAAGUCAGAUGUGAAAUUCCAGGGCUUAACCCUGGAACGGCAUUUGAAACUGCGAAUCUGGAGGGUAGACGGAGAAAGUGGAAUUCCACAUGUAGCGGUGAAAUGCGUAGAUAUGUGGAAGAACACCGGUGGCGAAGGCGACUUUCUAGUUUAUUCCUGACACUGAGGCGCGAAAGCAAGGGGAGCAAACAGG